AUGGCCAAAUAUUGGUGGAGUAGCUCUCUGGACAGAAGAUCCUUGCAUUGGAUUUCUUGGAAAGCACUUGCAUCUCCAAAAUUUCAGGGGGGAAUGGGUUUUCGUGAUAUGGAGUUGUUCAACCUUGCAAUUCUUGGGAAGCAUGGGUGGAGGUUCAUGGUCAGUUCUGAUUCACUGUGCGCCCGAGUUAUGAAGGGCCGGUAUUUUCCGGAUUCAGAUUUUAUGCAUGCCACAGUGCCGAAGUCAGCCUCCCCAAUUUGGCGGGCGAUUGUGGCUGGGCGUGAGGCCCUUCAGGAGGGUUUGAUCAUGCGAGUUGGUGAUGGAAGCUCUGUCUCUAUAUGGGAAGAUAAGUGGAUUCCA
rnacentral:rRNA from 1 species